rnacentral:rRNA from 1 species
UACGGAGGGGGCAAGCGUUAUUCGGAAUCAUUGGGCGUAAAGGGCGCGUAGGCGGCUUGGCAAGUCAAAGGUGAAAUCCCUCGGCCCAACCGAGGAACUGCCUUUGAUACUGCCUCGCUUGAGGCCGGGAGAGGGUAGCGGAAUUCCGCGUGUAGCAGUGAAAUGCGUAGAGAUGCGGAGGAACACCGAUGGCGAAGGCAGCCCCCUGGGCUAGCACUGACGCUCAGGCACGAAAGCGUGGGGAGCAAACAGG